CCACGUUGUGGAGGCUGGGCGUGAAGAAGACCUCAGCAUCUCUCUUAAAGCACAGGAGGAGAGGACAGACCAGCCGGGCAGCUAAGAUGAUGUCCUUCACACUCUCCAGGCUGAACCCCAAAGACAGCUUCACCACCUCUUCUCCGCCCGUGAACACCUGCAGAGAAGUUACUGCGAGUUUCUCCAGAGCAUCCAGGAAGUAGCCUCCAGCCACUCGCCUGCCCACCGCUGAAGUUCCGCACUGUAUCAAUGUAUUUAAGUGUCUCCGAGACAUACUGCUGCAGAGACCUUACUGCUUCAUCCCUGGGGAAUUAAAAGAAAGACGGAUAAUUAAUUUAGCAUCAAAAGUCAAAGGUAUAUGCCAAUGUCGUGCUUUGCUGUAUGAUGAUUGUUGAAUUAAAAGUUUAUCAAAGGAC